rnacentral:rRNA from 1 species
AUUGAACGCUGGCGGCAGGCUUAACACAUGCAAGUCGAGCGGAGAUGAGGUGCUUGCACCUUAUCUUAGCGGCGGACGGGUGAGUAAUGCUUAGGAAUCUGCCUAUUAGUGGGGGACAACAUUCCGAAAGGAAUGCUAAUACCGCAUACGUCCUACGGGAGAAAGCAGGGGAUCUUCGGACCUUGCGCUAAUAGAUGAGCCUAAGUCGGAUUAGCCAGUUGGUGGGGUAAAGGCCUACCAGGGCGACGAUCUGUGGCGGGUCUGAGAGGAUGAUCCGCCACACUGGGACUGAGACACGGCCCAGACUCCUACGGGAGGCAGCAGUGGGGAAUAUUGGACAAUGGGGGGAACCCUGAUCCAGCCAUGCCGCGUGUGUGAAGAAGGCCUUAUGGUUGUAAAGCACUUUAAGUGAGGAGGAGGCUACUGAGACUAAUACUCUUGGAUAGUGGACGUUACUCGCAGAAUAAGCACCGGCUAACUCUGUGCCAGCCGCCGCGGUAAUAC